AUUGAACGCUGGCGGCAUGCUUUACACAUGCAAGUCGAACGGUAACAGGCCGCAAGGUGCUGACGAGUGGCGAACGGGUGAGUAAUGCAUCGGAACGUGCCCAGUCGUGGGGGAUAACGCAGCGAAAGCUGUGCUAAUACCGCAUACGAUCUAUGGAUGACAGCGGGGGACCGUAAGGCCUCGCGCGAUUGGAGCGGCCGAUGUCAGAUUAGGUAGUUGGGGGGGUAAAGGCCCACCAAGCCAACGAUCUGUAGCUGGUCGGAGAGGACGACCAGCCACACUGGGACUGAGAAACGGCCCAGACUCCUACGGGAGGCAGCAGUGGGGAAUUUUGGACAAUGGGCGCAAGCCUGAUCCAGCAAUGCCGCGUGCAGGAAGAAGGCCUUCGGGUUGUAAACUGCUUUUGUACGGAACGAAAAGGUCUGGGUUAAUACCCUGGGCCGAUGACGGUACCGUAAGAAUAAGCACCGGCUAACUACGUGCCAGCCGCCGCGGUAA
rnacentral:rRNA from 1 species